CAGCAGCCGCGGGAAUACGAAGGGUGCAAGCGUUAAUCGGAAUUACUGGGCGUAAAGCGUGCGUAGGCGGUGAGUUAAGUCUGCUGUGAAAUCCCCGGGCUCAACCUGGGAAUUGCAGUGGAUACUGGGUCACUAGAGUGUGGUAGAGGAUAGUGGAAUUUCCGGUGUAGCAGUGAAAUGCGUAGAGAUCGGAAGGAACAUCUGUGGCGAAGGCGACUAUCUGGGCCAACACUGACACUGAGGCACGAAAGCGUGGGGAGCAAACAGGAUUAGAUACCCCAGAGUCCCUGUCUCUUAUACA
rnacentral:rRNA from 1 species